ACAACAUUUCGCAACGAAACUUUGGAAUAUUACUAAUUUUGUGAUGCUCUUUCAAGCUGUGAUGAAAUUUUUGUCUAGAUUUGUUUAGAUCAAAAUUUAGUCUAUAAUGCAAAUGGUACAUUGCCGCCAUCUUGGCUUCACUCUUUGGAAUCGAUCGAGUUCUCGCUCCAGAUUAUAUAUGGAGCUCUUUGGAGUUAACGAGCCUUAUAGCCUCUACCGCAAAUCAGCCAAUUAGCGUCGUGCACCAGCGCAGCGUUGUACCACUGUCCACAACAAAAAUACUAUACAAUGCUAUUGUACAGCCUUAUUUCGAUUAUUGCAGCCCGUUAUGGGAUAAUUGCGGAAUUGGCCUCAAAGAUAGGUUGCAAAAAUACCAAAAUCGUGCUGCAAGAGUAAUUACUGAGGAAACUUACGAUAUUCGGUCAUCUGAGUUACUCGAGAAUCUAAACUGGAAACCUCUCGAAGAAAGACGAAACUACCUUAAAUCGAUUUUCAUCCAUAAAAUUUUGAAUGGCCACAUCGUACCCAUGCAAUCUUAAAGAAGCAUUUCAAUAAUAAUGACCACCUAUGCCGAAAAGGGAAUUCGGCAAGAGGUGCUUCAGUUAUAACGGUGCCUUGCACUGGAAUAAUUUCCCCAUGAGGCAAAAAUUACUGAAUCCUUAAGCUAUUUCAAAUCAAUAUUAAAACAAAGAAUGAGUUGAAACUGGCUCGUGUAUGAUCGUGUAAUCGUAUUUUUUUGUUCCCUUUCCUGGAAUCUUGUCUUAUUUUAUCUUUUUUCAUAUUUCUUUAUUUUUUGUAAAUAGUUAAUUCUAUAUUUCAUGCCCCUCAUGGAAAUCAGCCUCCUAACGCUUGUUGAGGCUAGCGUGGUUAAGUAAUCUUCAUCCUGCAUUGCUGGAACAUUCUUGGGUCUGUUUGAACGUUUGCUGAAAGAUG